rnacentral:tRNA from 1 species
GUACGCGUAGCUCAGUUGGAUAGAGCGUCUGGCUACGGACCAGAAGGCCGAGGGUUCAAAUCCUUUCGCGUACA